rnacentral:rRNA from 1 species
GCCUGCCUGUGACUUAAGUUUAACGGCCGCGGUAUCUUGACCGUGCAAAGGUAGCGCAAUCACUUGUCUUUUAAAUGGAGACCUGUAUGAAUGGCAAAACGAGGGCUUAACUGUCUCCUUCCCCUGGUCAAUGAAAUUGAUCUCCCCGUGCAGAAGCGGGGAUUUUAACAUUAGACGAGAAGACCCUAUGAAGCUUUAGACACAAGUUUAGAUCAUGUUAAAGCUCUACAAUAAAAAGAAAAAACCAAUUGAGACCUAAACCACUGUCUUUGGUUGGGGCGACCACGGAGAAAAAAUAAACCCCCGUGUGGAAUAAGGGCACAUUAAAUACCCUCAAACCUCAGAGCGACAGCUCAAACGAUCAGAAUCUCUGACCUUGCAGAUCCGGCAAUGCCGAUCAACGAACCCAGUUACUCUAGGGAUAACAGCGCAAUCCUCUUUUAGAGCCCAUAUCGACAAGAGGGUUUACGACCUCGAUGUUGGAUCAGGACCUCCUAAUGGUGUAGCCGCUAUUUAGGGUUCGUUUGUUCAACGAUUAAAGUCCUACGUGAUCUGA